CUUACAGGCGCUCUACUAUGUACUGAUGCUACCAUUCAGACUAUUCAUCAUUUUAAAACACCACAGUAGCACCAGAAUUUUACAGAUGAGUCAAUCAAAUGCCAUCUCCAGUAAUGUCAGUGGAUUUCAAUGUGGAGUAAGAGGAACUAGAAACAAGAGUGUGGCAUUGGCUUCCAGAAGCAACAGGCUUGUUUGGGCUGAGUGACACACACACAGGACACCUGUUUUCACUACUUUUCCCAGUGUGUUGAGACUUUGGUGGAAGGAUCUGGUUGACAGAGGGAAGGUCUCUAGUGCGGAAUUAAGAGAUGGAGACAAGUUGGUGCCUUGCCAGGGGGAGACUUCACAAUCACUGAGCCAGUCAACGCUGGGAGUGCUGGGGAAAGGUCACCUCUCCAGAACCCUGAGGCCGGCACCUGGAUUUCUACAGCGGCACCCCAUUUCUUUGAGCACCAGAUGUUUACAGAGCACAUUCCAUAUAUCAAGUGUUGUGGUCCCUGACUGUAGGGCCUAGUGCUGUAGGCACAUCCAGACACAAGAGCUGGGCGACUCUGGAGGAUGAAGCUGCCUGUUGUCUGCACGGCCAUUCACUAGGAAGCCUUCUGAGCCUGGGAGGAAAGCCUUGCCCGAGAGGUAGAGGAUGUCUGCAGGGACGUCCACGCCUUUCGGCUCCCCGUGGCACUUAGCACACUGUUGGAUACUACAUAUUUAAAAGAAGGAGUAAAUGACCACCGCGUCUUGGACUGUC